CCGCGGCCCCCGCGAUAAAACCGAUUCGAUCGCCGAACAGCCGCAGUCCACGCGAUCGAUCGAUCGCUACUGUGCGUGCCGCUAUUUUAUUAUAAACAACAACAACAACGAAAACAAUAUAAAUAAGUGCCCGAUCGUAAUAAAACGAACGUUAUAUACUCACGUAAGCGGUCGAACGCGACUCAUGCAGCGGGUGAGAAUUCAGGUGCGUAGCGGCGGCGUCGUCGUCGUCGGCCACACACCAUGUCUGCACGGGUAGACCCGCCGACGACCGUUGGCCGGUUUUUCCG